CUCCUACCACUUGUGGCACAUUGGGCUAUGCACGUGGAAAAGCUGAAAUUCUUAAAAGGAAACCAGGAGGCUUCUAGGACCCAGAAGCUGAGAUGCUUUCCAAGCUUCAGGCUGCCUCUUACCCUUCACUGCAGUAGAUCUGUGCAUCAGCUACAGUGGACAAGAAGCAACAGAGAGGUACCCAGUAUGCUAGAAACCUGCACAAGGGAAGGAGAGAUGGAGCCAUAGAUCUCAGAGGGGAAGCUUCCUGCAUUUGAGAGAAGGUGGGUGAAUACUCUCAGAACAAAACUGAAAAGCCAGUGACUGAAUAUUUGGAAAAGACUUUUCAAAUGAGGCCAGAAACAGCCAUUGUAGACACAGGUUAUUGCUGGUGAACUGUGACUAAGGGAUUCUUCUAUGUUUGAGAACUCAGAGUUCUAGGACCCAUUUUCUCUAAUUUUGGGGCCAAAACCUGAGGUGUAGAAGCGGGACCCCGUGAUUUCUUGGGGCCCAUUCAGUAAACAGAGCAAAAUAUUCCCCAUGGGAUGGUCAGAUAAUGCAGAGACACAAGGAUGAAUUCAAAGGCCCAUUAGGUAGGCGGCCAAGAAUUUGUUGUGACAGAUGCAUAGGCUGAAGUUGCAAGACACUGUGGGAAGCAAGCACAUUACUAAAAAGGCAAAGGAACACUGUUUUUAAACCAGACGGAGGUGGGAAAAGAGUGAAUCUGUAUCUGCAGGUCAAUCUCUUGGUGAUCUGCAGCAGGAACCAACAAAAAAAGCACCAGAUCAGGGUUGUCCCUCAUUCUCUCAGAUUUCAGGCCAGUGUCUGUGAACUGGAAAAUGCACCUCACCACCAGAAUUUCAGGAUCAGAGCCUGUGACCUGGCAACUCUUGCUGCCUGGUGUUAAUAUUUUUUUUUUAAAAAAGGGAAAUUGCCAGGUGCUUCUCUGGAGCUCUGCUGGAGGCACCCCCUGUAGAGCCUAAC
rnacentral:lncRNA from 1 species